UACCUCCUAAAUGGCAGAUAAUUGAGCAGUGGGACUGCAGGACCAUGAUUUAUACACCAACACUGCUUCAUUAUGCUAAAUUUGUUUUGGUGACUAUAGUGUCCCUUUAAGUUUCUGAAACACAUAAACAUCCAUAGUUUAAAGUGCUGUGAACAGGAUCCUUGACAUAGUUACAAAACAGCCAUUUAGAGUUUGAAGAUUUUUGAAUUGCCCGUAGGCAGUUUUAUUGAUGAGGAUUAGGGGACUGGAAGCUGAAUGAGUGUUUAAUACAUAUUUACAUUAUUGACCAUGGUCACUUUUUUACCUCUUACAUAGCUUCUCAAUUAACAGUCUGUAAAAGUGGUCUCAGUCUAGAAAAGGAUGGAGCGGCUUUACUCUGCGGUUGUAGGCAAUGCUGGACAACCAUAUGUUCCCCAACUAUGGCUUGAACGGAAUGUUCUGUAACUGUAAUGUUCUAUUUCGGGGUUUGUGCUUGAUUAUAUCAGUCUGCUAAGUUCUAUAAAUGGAGGAAUCACCAUGGAAACCUAUGGAAUAUUCCUGUUGAUUGGCCCUUAUUUCGAACUUUGACCAAACAUUGCUUAUUGUACAUACCGUCCAAUGAGACGAUGCAAAUAUCUCCUUGUAUAAAUGGAAUUCACACCUUUGGGCACGGAGUGUAGUCAGUCGUUUACCCCAAAAGAGAAACCAACUAAAAUCUAUAACGUGCUAUUUCACACUCUGAGUAAUGCUGAGAUAUCUGACAGUCGGAGGGGUUAACGAAUCCUUGAAAGCAUAUAGUUGGAUGAAAUGUGUACAGUAGCAGAAGGAGAAAUUACCAUUAAGGGCCCAGAUCUUGGCAUGACAGCAAAAACGCAUAAGGUAAAGAGAGUAACAGCUGUUACCAAGACGGAGAAAAUGGCUUUCCGACUGCACAGACAGAAAUAAGAUUUGACCGUGAUGUCCGGUGCGGUAGAAGGAAGAGAAAUCAACAAAUUGGCUAUUUCGAAAGAAAUACAGAUAUACUGAGCUGUAUUUAGUAAAUAGAGAACUGUGGUGAAUUAAAGGGUUUCUUCACCACCAUGACUACUUUUUCUUUUAGAAGUGGUCAUUGUGGCAGGAGUCUGUAUGUGCAUUGUUUCUGUGUGAAAUGUAGAUUUUGUGCAGGGGGCAAGUAGCACCCCCAGCACACAGCAAUUCUGUGGAAAAUUUACGUCUGUCAUCUGUGUGAAAGGUGCUAUUAACUUUUUGUGAGUUGCUAGUUACGCCCCUGGCACAUGUGACUCAGAAAGCCCAGAACUCUGUUCCUGGCUGACUAAUGUCAAUUUUGUGCAAAGUUGACGUCAACAGACGUAUUGAGCUUCUUCCUUACAGAGGCUGCGAGGGGAAGUGUUUGUAAAACAAUUUUGUUUGCUGUUUUUACAGCAGAAUAUAGGGGGGAGCUUGUGAAUAGUGCCCAUUAGGGCAUUUUACAUAGGAAACUGAUAAGUUAGGGUAACCUUAAGGGGUUAAAUAGCUGAUAAUCUCCAACUUGACUAUCUUGGUCUAUAUAUCUGUAUUUAUGGAAAUGUUCAUUUUUUACGUCAUAUAGCU